CCCUACGGGGGGCAGCAGGGAAUCUUCCACAAUGGGCGCAAGCCUGAUGGAGCAACGCCGCGUGGGUGAAGAAGGUCUUCGGAUCGUAAAACCCUGUUGUUAGAGAAGAAAGUGCGUGAGAGUAACUGUUCACGUUUCGACGGUAUCUAACCAGAAAGCCACGGCUAACUACGUGCCAGCAGCCGCGGUAAUACGUAGGUGGCAAGCGUUAUCCGGAUUUAUUGGGCGUAAAGGGAACGCAGGCGGUCUUUUAAGUCUGAUGUGAAAGCCUUCGGCUUAACCGGAGUAGUGCAUUGGAAACUUGG
rnacentral:rRNA from 1 species